AAACAAGGGGUUAUUCCGACAAAAAAAAAGUAUCUGACUGUUAAAUGUAUUAACUUAAGCGCUAUAUUUGCAAAUUCAACAAAUCUGUAGUCGUCCAUGUCUUCGUCGUCGUCCUCCUCCUCAUCACUGGUAAUAUCUGGAUCUGAAGCUUGUGCUCUGCACUUGGGACACUGACAAACGAAUAUAUAAUUUUCACGCAACGUUUUAUGCCUGGAAUGGCGACUGCGCUCCAGCUGGCAGUCAUCCAAAUACGAUAUGCAUAUCUCAUCGCCUUUCUGUAUGGGCGCCAAAGCCUUUAGUACGACUAUGUCGUUGGAGUAGGGAAACGUGGACUGUGCAUUCGGAACACAGCUGUGAUUUAUCUUGCUCUGCAGUAUGUACAAACCGGAGCCCUCGUUGUUGAGGAAUUCACCUGCAACUGUUUUAAUAUGGGGACUUAAUAAGCUGGUAAUAAAAUAAUAAGAAAUGCAACUUACAA